rnacentral:rRNA from 1 species
UGGGGAAUUUUGGACAAUGGGGGAAACCCUGAUCCAGCCAUCCCGCGUGUGCGAUGAAGGCCUUCGGGUUGUAAAGCACUUUUGGCAGGAAAGAAACGUCAUGGGUUAAUACCCCGUGAAACUGACGGUACCUGCAGAAUAAGCACCGGCUAACUACGUGCCAGCAGCCGCGGUAAUACGUAGGUUGCAAGCGUUAAUCGGAAUUACUGGGCGUAAAGCGUGCGCAGGCGGUUCGGAAAGAAAGAUGUGAAAUCCCAGAUCUCAACUUUGGAACUGCAUUUUUAACUACCGGGCUAGAGUGUGUCAGAGGGAGGUGGAAUUCCGCGUGUAGCAGUGAAAUGCGUAGAUAUGCGGAGGAACACCGAUGGCGAAGGCAGCCUCCUGGGAUAACACUGACGCUCAUGCACGAAAGCGUGGGGAGCAAACAGU